rnacentral:lncRNA from 1 species
CAGGCUGCCAGCGUGGAAAACCGGCCACGUGCAGGUCUGGGGCUGGGCACACACAGGGUCACACCCAGGAAGGGAUAAGCUAUGCAUUUCUAUUGAUAGAGUGGGCAGGGACCACAGGAAUUUAGAAAAUAUUAGGGCCAAGUUUACUGGGGAAAAUGUACAGGCCAGCAGAUAGCAUGGAAAAGUCCCCUCCCUGAGGAAGGGAAGCAUCUCAGAGGAGGUAAGAGACUGCUCCCAGGGCUGUGGUUAGAGCCUCCCCAACCGCAGCACGAUGCCCUUUGUCCCAUCUUCAGCAGGAGGGGCUGCUCUCCAUGGAGAUGAGGCUGACAGGGUCAGCGGAGUAGCCUGUGACAGGCAGGUUUUAAUAAGUUCAUUUUCAGCCAACCCCUGAAAUGGGUUAUUUUUGUUCCAUGGGAAUGCUCUACAUCUUCUGAAAGAUGGCACCUGGGACCCAGCCCAUGGCCUUCCUGGGGUAGGAUGUGCUGGAGAAGGAUUCUGUGGACCUGACAGAGAAGACAGAAGCCAGAGAGUAGACACCCGGAAAGAAAGAGGGAAAAGUGUGGUGGGAAGGACAGAGGGGACCCGAAGUUCCCCACGCCAGGGAAAUGACAGGGGGUUGCCAGUCUGUUUCUGAUGGUUGAGCAGUCAGGGGCCCAGAGACGCAGGAAACCCAAAAUCCUUGGUCCACCACGGGGCUGUCCUCAGGGUCUGGAGAGCAGGCCCCAUACUCCAGGCCCCCAUCCUCCAGGCCCUCGUCCCCCAGGCUCCAUCCUCCAGGCCCCCAUUCUCCAGGGCUCCAUCCUCUAGGCCCCUGUCCUCCAGGCCCCCAUCCUCUAGGCCCUCAUCCUCCAGGCUCCAUCCUCCAGGCUCCAUCCUCCAGGUUUCAUCCUUCAGGCCAUCAUCCUCCAGGCCCCCGUCCUCCAGGCCCCCAUCCUCCAGGCCCCAUCCUCCAGGCCCCCAUCUUUCAGGCCCCUGUCCUCCAGGCUCUUGUCCUCCAGGCCCUCAUCCUCCAGGCCCCUGCUCCUCCAGACCCUCAUCCUCCAGACCCUCAUCCUCCAGGCCCCCAUCUUUCAGGCCCCUGUCCUCCAGGCCCUCUUCCUCCAGACCCUCGUCCUCCAGGCCCCUGUUCCUCCAGACCCUCGUCCUCCAGACCCUCAUUCUCCAGGCCCCCGUCCUCCAGGCUCCAUCCUCCAGGGCUCCUCUGGGUCCGGGUCAAGUACCUCCAGGCUCUCUGCUGACUGUUCACCACUGGGCAACCACAGGGACUCGAUCCAUGAAAACUCUGGCAAGCCCCUUCAGGAUUCCUGCUGCGACCACCUGACCCAUGCAAAAGAGACCACUUCUCAGCCUCUCUCACUCUCCUGGCCCUGGCGGAAGCCUGUGUUGUCAUAGGCAUGCUUCCCUGGAAUCCUGCUCAGGCCCCCACGCAGGGACACUGAGUGCCCACAGAGUUGGGAAACCAUUACACGAGAUGGGACGUCUGCAAUAGAGUGGCAUCGCUAGUUGAAAGUGGAGCUGUUCACAACCUCCACAACUGUACUUGGUGGCCACGUCCCCAUCACAUGGGCUCAGACUGGGGGCUGGACAUUGACUUUGAGCCCCAAGUCUUCACCCUCAUGCAAAAACCAUCCUCCUUGGAGAUGCAGGCUGGGAAGGGCGCCAUGUCCGGAGUCCCUGCCCUGCUGUCAUCUGCCGACCUUUGUGCAGCCUGUCCCUUUCGUUAAGAAUUUCAGCACUGAGUUCACUGUGUUCCUUGUCAUGCUAAGACUUGGCCACAUCCCAGCCAUCUUCAACAUGGCGGUCGAUGUUUCAUCAAAAUUCACAGUCGCUCAGAUUUUAUUUUUCCUCAUCUCUAGGAACUUCCAUCUCCACUCCACUUCUGCCACUUCUGCCACCCUCCCAUGACCACACUCAGAACUUGAGCUCCACCUCUGAAAGAGGCAGAAUUGCCUUAUCUCACACAGUGGUGACAGCACUCUGUAAUAAUCUGCAUGGGCCAGGGCUCCUUGGUUGCAGGUAACAGAUACCACUGUUACGGCCCAACUCUGUUCUUCUAUGUUGAAGCCGGAACCCCCAGCGCCUCAGAAUGGGAUCACAUCUGGAGAAGGCGCCUUUAAAGAGAGUGCAAGUUAGGUAAGAAAGAACGGAUGGUGGACAGCCAGGAAACAGUCAGCUACGAGAUGUUGUGUGGAAAGCCCACCUUUCUGACACUGGAGAACUGUGGGAAGAACGGACAGGCCACACACCAGCUGGGCUCUGAGAACCCCCAGCUUCUGCUCCACAGUGAGCCAGCAGGAAUCCAAAGGGCAUGGGCAGACCCCAGGGGCUCCUUCACCCCACCCAGGGGUAGAGAGGGCAAGACGGAGUAGAGCGAGGUAAGAGACUGAGCAAUGCGUUCCCAAAGACUGUGACUGACAGAAGCUGUGCAAAUUAUUAUGACAAACUGAAUUUUAAGAGGAAUUGGACUAAAUAAAGUUAGCUCAUUUUUACCUGUAAUUAGCAGACAGAGAGUGUAAGAUCAGACAUACCAUAGAUGGAAAAGAAAAGCUAAAACUUCCUUGCACAUCUGAGAGGUAAGAGGAGGUGUCUGUGGCCCCCCUGACACAUACGUGACAUAUGUAUUAUUACGGCUCAUGUGUGUGCUGCUGUGUGCAGGGGGCAGGGGGCUUCCCGUUCCUGAUGGUUCUUCUUGGUGGGUGUCUCCCGGCCUCUCAGGCCUCUUUAUCUGCUGAACGUGGUAGCCAAGGGUUUGGGAAUGAUUUGCCAGACUGGUUAAUGUGGAAAGAGCUGGCCCCGCUCAGUUCUGCACCUCCCUCUUCCUCCCUGGAACCGUCUGGCUGCAGAGAGCAGGAGCUUUCCAGAGCUCCCGGGGGAUCCCAUCUCCAGUAUAACUGUGCAACGUGUGCCCAGCACAAGAGCACCAGAUGGAGGGACAGGUGGGAGGAGGAGGAACCCAGGGUGCAUUUAGCUUGGGGCUUGCUGAGCUGAGGUCCCCAGAGCAAGGACGACUAGGUUGGGGGGACACCCUCUCCCAAUCCUUGCCAAGCUACAGAGGGGCCAGUGGGAAUAAAGUGACAUUUUGGCUUCUGUAUCCCUCCUCUGCUGUUCUAUUUUCUAGUUCGUUCAGAUCUGAGGUUGGGGAGGGGUUUUCCUGGAGGGGUCAGUCCAUGCCACCCUCUGCAAUUUUUAUUACACAUGCUUUCAGACAUUCUGCUACAGGUUUCAUCUCCUACGCCAAUUUCUAUUUGGGAAAGCAAAUAAACGGAAAGCUAACUUGUGUCACUUGGUCGCUGGGGCAUCCGCAGUGAGUAGUUAAGAAAUGCCAGGGGAGUCGGUGUCCAUUUUCAUGCCUGGACAAGAGUGCGUCUUGGACUUGCGUCCUGCUGCACACCCCACCGUCCCGCUGCACACCCCACCGUCCUACUGCACACCCCACUGUCCUACUGUACACCCCACCGUCCUACUGCACACCCCACUGUCCUACUGCACACCCCACUGUCCUACUGUACACCCCACCAUCCCUGCUUUCUGCACUCAGCUGCCCACUUGUAUCCCAGCUCAGGAAGCCCAGAAG